UUAGGAGAGGUCUUGAGGAUCCGGAGAGACUGGAAAAUAUUUACCAGCAUGGCCUGAGGCAGAAUUGUCUGGAAGGAAAUUUUUUUAAUGGGAAUAGAGAAAACAUGAUCCAGAAAGCCAGCAGGUCCCUGGCUUAAUAACUUCAUGAAUGACUCCAAGAAUUGCUGGAGGCCUUGGGGACAGAAGUUGGCCCUGAAAGCAAAUGAAGCUAACUCCCUAGAGCUCACGGACCCCAGGCUUUGGUGACUUGAACCAAAUUGUUUCUCCUGGGACCUAACUGUGGCUGAGCUGGGACUAGAUGGCAGGGACCAUGCCCGGCAAUGGCUCUUCAAGGGAAAAUGGAAUCCUCAAAGUCAUAGUUACCCAGGGGGAUGGGACCUGCAUCAGAUUGCCUCUAAGUGGGGACCAUCAAGAAGCUCAUUUUCAGAGGAUGGAAAACUCUCAUCUACUGCAUUCCCCUGGCAGGCAGAGAUGGCUGCUGGCUGAAUUCUCCUGAGCCAGAGAGAGGGUUCCAGAACUGCUGGUGGGGUGUUUCUCAGACUGGAGCCGUCCAAGGCAGAGCAGGCAGUUUGGAUAGUGCCUGCCCGAGCCAGCAUGCACAGAACCCAGAGACACGCAUGUGAUAACCGUUGGGGCUGCUUCCCAGGAACAUCCCACCCAGAUUUGCCUUCUUCGAAGAAAAGUAACGCAAAAGGCCAUUUUUCACUUUUAAAUAGCUUUCAUUCUAUGUCUUAAUAAAUGCACGUUUGUUGAUUUGUGUAAGCAUGAUGUGGGAAGUCUGCAAAUGGAUGUAAUCUGCACCGAGGGCACAUGUAAGCACCAG